AAAGGAAAGGAGAAAAAGAAAAAAAAAGAAAUAGAAUCCCCAAAACCCAAUCAUAUGAUAACUUCUGGCUGAACUCCUGCCCAAUUUGAACUGGAGUCAAAACUUACUUUAGUUAAGCUAAAUCUCCCUCAGCCCCAGCUUUCAAAUAAAAUAGUUGUUUUUGUUUUGCUUUUUUUCCAAUUAAAUGAACAAAGCUCCUUGGGAUGUCUUUAAACAUCAUUCUACUGAUUCACUCCAAAAUAAUAGUAAGUGACUUAGACAAAUGAUCUGAGCAACUGACUCCUUGGAUGGAGAGAGUGAGUAAGAAAUAUACUCUGUCCCUUGGCUGUUGUUCACUGCUUUAUCAUUUCUUCACUUACAUCCCACCAAAUGUGUUGAUUAUUGCUUUGGACUCUAUAUUUAAUAAACUGGAUUAAUCUUGCCCUGGAAAACAAAUGAGCAGUCUGGCUUAUCUGCUUUUAUCCUGGCAUAACAAGACAUUUUUUCUAAUCAGCUGAUUUGGAGAGAAGUUUGCCAUGUUGAAAGUGGAGAGAAGUUUCAUUCAAAUUGAGUUGAACUGCCUGCUGCUUACAGCUAUACAGCUCUUUGCUGACAGCUCAUGCACUUAGAAUUUGGGCAAGAUUUGCACAGCCCUGAACCAAAAUAACAUAUUACAGUAGUUUUUUGAGUUCUUGAAAGGCAUGAUGAUGACCUAAGAUGAGCAUUUAGUCCAAACCUAAAGAUCUGUUCCAAUAUAUUCCAGUCAAUGCUUACCUUGGGAUUUCAGAUUAAAGGCAUGAGUUCAAAAUGUGCUUUUAUUUAUGAACACUGGGUGGGAGAUACAAAGAGAGCAGAAUAACCUUCUAGUCUAUAGGGAUAAAUAUCUUUGAGGUUCUGGGAGAACCCUGAUGGCUUUCUCAAAUAACUGUUUCUGUACCCGCAAAUCUAUAUUUUUCCUCACAGGUGCCGUGCCAUGACACGUCGAAGGGAUAUGCUAAAUAUCAAGAGAUCCUGAAAUUUAACUUGUAAUAAACUAGAUACAUGACAGCUUUAAAUUCCAGCCAAAACAUACUGGCAUUUACCAAAUUUGAAGAUGAAGACAGUGCACUUCAGACUGGUAAUUUUGUCAUCUAAUGGAAAAUGGAACAUCCAACUGAAGUUAAAAUGAAGAUACUCGAACUGAAGAUUCUUCUACAAGACUGAACACUCAAAAUCGACACUGACCGGAUGGAAUUUCAAAGGUGUACUUGCAAAAAAAGAAUCUCUUUUCAGAAAGAUGUUACAACAGUGUAACGCACUUGUACAACAUUACAAAGUGGACAUGUCUUCGU